AUAUUUUGAACCGCAUGGUUCAAAAGUGAAAGACGGUCUUGCUGUCACUUAUAGAUGGAUCCGCGCUGCAUUAGCUAGUUGGUAAGGUAACGGCUUACCAAGGCAACGAUGCAUAGCCGACCUGAGAGGGUGAUCGGCCACACUGGAACUGAGACACGGUCCAGACUCCUACGGGAGGCAGCAGUAGGGAAUCUUCCGCAAUGGGCGAAAGCCUGACGGAGCAACGCCGCGUGAGUGAUGAAGGUCUUCGGAUCGUAAAACUCUGUUAUUAGGGAAGAACAUAUGUGUAAGUAACUGUGCACAUCUUGACGGUACCUAAUCAGAAAGCCACGGCUAACUACGUGCCAGCAGCCGCGGUAAUACGUAGGUGGCAAGCGUUAUC
rnacentral:rRNA from 1 species